ACGGGUGAGUAACGCGUGGGGACCUGCCUUCGAGUGAGGAAUACCGGCGAGAAAUCGCCGACAAUACCGCAUACGCUUCUCCGGAAGCAAAGUCGCAAGACGCUCGAAGAUGGCCCUGCGUCCGAUUAGCCAGUUGGUGGGGUAAUGGCCUACCAAAGCGACGAUCGGUAGCUGGUCUGAGAGGACGAUCAGCCACACUGGGAUUGAGAACGGCCCAGACUCCUACGGGGGGCAGCAGUGAGGAAUAUUCGUCAAUGGGGGCAACCCUGAACGAGCAACGCCGCGUGCAGGAUGACGGUUUUCGGAUCGUAAACUGCUUUUCUCUGGGACGACACAAAGGACGGUACCAGAGGAAUCAGCCCCGGCUAACUACGUGCCAGCAGCCGCGGUAAUACGUAGGGGGCGAGCGUUGUCCGGAGUUAUUGGGCGUAAAGCGCACGCAGGCGGUCAAUCAAGUCUGGAGUGACAGUUCCCGGCUCACCUGGGAAAGGUCUUCGGAAACUGGUUGACUUGAGGAACUCAGAGGAAGACGGAAUUCCAGGUGGAGCGGUGAAAUGCGUAGA
rnacentral:rRNA from 1 species